AGUUGUUUAAGAGCCGCGGUAAUUUGACCGUGCAAAGGUAGCAUAAUCAUUAGUUUUUUAAUUGAAAACUUGUAUGAAGGGUCGGACAAAGGAAAAGCUGUCUCUAUUAUAUAAAUUGAAUUUAACUUUUAAGUGAAAAGGCUUAAAUAAUUCAGGGGGACGAUAAGACCCUAUAAAGCGUUUUAUUGGGGCGAUAUAAGUAUAAUUAUUAACUGCUUAGGUAAAAUACAAUAAUAGAUGUGAUGAUCCUUUUUAAAGAUUAAAAGACUAAGUUACUUUAGGGAUAACAGCGUUAUUUUUUUUGAGAGUUCAUAUCGAAAAAAAAGUUUGCGACCUCGAUGUUGAAUUAAAAUGUCUAUAUAGUGCAGAUGCUAUAUAAGAGGGUCUGUUCGACCUUUAAAUUUUU
rnacentral:rRNA from 1 species